AGAAUGAGUUGUUAAGCAAUGACCAUCAAGCGUUGAGCGUAGAGGAAAUCCUGAGACCUAGGAAAGUCAAUUUGUUGGUUGGGCUGGAAAUGAGUUGAGUGCACACAUUAAUUAAUCAGAAAAUCCAAUUUUCUAAGUGGAUUCCCCAAGUGUUGAGCGAAUCAAUUGUGAAACACAGUCCAACACUCAACAUUGUAAAUAGAAAGGCUUGGUCUAGAGAAAAUAAGGUUAUAUGAGGUGAAGAAAGAAUAGACAAAUUAAGCGCACCAUGCAAAGUCAUAUGUCC
rnacentral:lncRNA from 1 species